GAUGUGGUAGCUCAGUGGCAGAGCAGCUGUUUGCAGUUCAGCAAGUCGGUGGUUCAAUUCCACCCCACAUCU